ensembl:snoRNA Gm25216 small nucleolar RNA SNORA17
CCUGCCCUAGAGGCAUUGCGGGUGUGGCUGCUCUGUCACGCGUGUGCCAGUAGACGGCAGAGAGGAGAGGCCACAUCUACACUCAGUGUUCUGACCUAUGAACUUCUGAAUGGAUUAGUGUGGCCUAAUAUU